GUUAGGGCAGGGUUGGAGGAUGUCUUAAGGGGAGAUAGGCCAUCGGGUUUUGUAUUAAGGAGGUUUAAGGAAUGGCAGGCGAAGACCACCUUGGCGUAUAUUGAGGCAGGUACAGGGGGGGGUGGCUUUGAGGAGGGUCAAGGCCUAUCCACCACGGAAAAUAUUAGUUUGUAUGCAGAUUUUUGGUUUAGGGAGAAGUGGAGGAGGGUUGGCGGGGGAGUGGGUGAGGGACGGUUUGGGGAUGAAGGGUUUAAUAGGGUAUUAAGUGAGCAGGACAGUGACAGAAUCGAGGGUAGUAUUAAUGUAGAGGAGGUGGAGGAGGCAGUUUUUGGGAUGUUGUAGUGAUACUGGUCCUGUGAGGAGCAGCAGCAGGAUAAUACUGCACCACCUCUAGGGGCCCUUAACAACAACAACAGUUUGGUGUGGUCAUGGGCACCAACACAUGGUGUGUGAUUCUCUCAUACUUUAUACAUUUAUCAGCGAUGCAGAUUACAUGAAGUACUAUGAAGAUUCUAUGUUCAAUAAAGCCUAGAGAUAA